rnacentral:rRNA from 1 species
GCAGUAGCCGCGGGAAUACGUAGGUGGCAAGCGUUGCCCGGAAUUAUUGGGCGUAAAGGGCUCGCAGGCGGUUUCUUAAGUCUGAUGUGAAAGCCCCCGGCUCAACCGGGGAGGGUCAUUGGAAACUGGGAAACUUGAGUGCAGAAGAGGAGAGUGGAAUUCCACGUGUAGCGGUGAAAUGCGUAGAGAUGUGGAGGAACACCAGUGGCGAAGGCGACUCUCUGGUCUGUAACUGACGCUGAGGAGCGAAAGCGUGGGGAGCGAACAGGAUUAGAUACCCGUGUAGUCCCUGUCUCUUAUAC